AAUACGGGAGGCAGCAGAGGGGAAUGAUGCGCAAUGGGCGAAAGCCUGAAGCAGCAACGCCGCGUGAACGAUGAAGGCAUUCGGGUGAUAAAGUUCUUCAUAGGGGAGGAAGAUGUGACGUACCGCGAAGCCGGCCG
rnacentral:rRNA from 1 species